AGGGGAUUGGUCAAGUGGUAUGAUAGGGGUCUCCAAAACCUUUGGUGGGGGUUCGAUUCCCUCAUCCCCUG
rnacentral:tRNA from 1 species